CACUUUGUGUUCCCGUAUCAAGCCCAUAACUUCAGUUAAGGAAUGUCCUUUUUAGAAAAAGAUAAUAAUUUUGUGUUGCUUAAAGGUGUAAAUGAUGGAACAUGAGUACGUCCACCUCUGCUUUGUGCUGUUCUGAGAUGCACUAAAAUGCCUGGAGCCUGUUUAUUCUGUCAGGAGAAGUAAUGCUACCAGUGCUGCAAUAUUUAAACGUAGGCAUAGGCCAGCAGGCUGUUCAGAAACUCUUGUGGAUCUGUAGUGCUCAGCACGAUCCCCUACUACUAAUUUCUUUGGCUCUGUGUUUUUAACCUCCGUUCAUUAGGAGUGAGUCAUACUUCACAAGACCUCUGUGAACAGUUAAACCAAUCUGUCGAUUGAGUCUGUUCAAUCACUUGGCCUGUUCUGAAAGAAAAGGCAGCUCUAGCAAUGAGAUUUCUCCCACUACCACACUGAGGGUGUGUGGCACCCCUCCUCCAGGCUGCAUGUGCUGCCUCAGGAGCUCAGCACUUCAGAAAAUUGCCCUUUUGGUAACAAAGGUGUCUUAACAAGUAUGUACAGGCUCCAAGGUGCAUCCACAGCUGUGUUGGGAGACUGGCAAGAAAGUGGCCUGACAAGGAAAAACUAUAAUUCUUCCACAGAGGCCCAGCUUUUUGGGCAGGGAGGUGUUACAAAAAGACUUCCAGGUUAUCUCUGUCAGGGCUGACACAAUAAGAAGCAGCUUAAAUUAAACUUUUCCAUUCCUGACCUGGAUUCUUCUUUCCAGGUACGCCAGCUUUUGCCUCAGAGUUCCGAGCAUGAGGAAGUGACAAUCUUCCAAGAGCUGAUGCAGAAACAUGGGAGAGCCUUAUGCCUCUUACAACUUGUGCUUACCUGAGGUCUUCCCUUGAUUACCUUUUUUCUUUAAUUUCAUGUCAGAGUCUUCACCCAGCCAGGCAGUGCUGCCCAAGUAAUUGCUAGCAACGCCUACAGGACUCUUUCAUGCAUGAGAAGGCUAUUUGGCUCACACCACCCUGCCAGCCUGAGGAGCUUGACUCUGUGCCCUAUAAGAUCUCUCUGGCUCCUCUUCCUGCAGCAGGAUGUUGCAAAGUGGUUAUUGACCUUCCUGGUGGUGGGUGUUCCCCAAGCUCUGUCCACCCCAGCUUUGCUCUCAGCCACAGCUCCAGGAAACUGCCAAUGGAAUCAGUUCCUUGCCACCCCUUGGGCGCUGCUGGGGUUUCCAGAGGGGAAGACAGCCAGCCUGAGACUGCUGCAACACAGAGGCAAGUCCUAGGGGCUGGGGUCACAGUGUUGAUGACUGUAGGGAAGAGCGAUGGGGUCCAGGGAGAGAGAGGAUGGAGGAUAAACCACAGAGCCAAGGGGCUGUUGGAGCAGACAUGUGCAGUUGAAGAGGUAUAGUAUGUAGAAAGGAGGAUGCUUGUGAAGAGUGGAGGAUGGAGUCUGCUUGGUGAGGAAAUGAGGCUGGGGAACUUGAAGGGUCAUUGCAGUGCUCAGUACCAGAGUAUUAGAUGGAUGUGGGAUGGUGACAAAGGGCUGGAGGGAAGCCACAGCAGACGAGGGGGAGAAGUACUGCACUCUCUUGUGCAGCAGAGUUCCUGUGUGGGGUGGCCACUGGAGAUUAUGGGGAGUUCAAAGGGGCCUGGACAUGGGAGGACAAGAUACACCUCAUGACCAGGGCUGCCAAGUUGGACGGGGAGGCUGGGGUGUCUCCAUGAGACGCAGUGGAGGUUGCAGGAAGAAGCACAUGGGGCACAGGAACGAUCAUGUGUGUGAAGCAGCGUCAGUGGAUGCAAGGGGUUGAAAGCUGAGUGGGGAUGGGAAGCCUGGGAGGGGUAUAUGGGUGCUUGCCGGCUAGGGCUGGGAAUGCAGGUGUGUGAGCUAUAUAAGGCAGUAUAUAAAGCGAUAUGGGUAUAAAGUAAAAAUACAAACCUAUCCACAGCAAGUGGGGCUGUGCAUGGCUGGGAAGGUGCUGUGGGGUGCAGUCCCAGGGGGAAUGCUCCCAGAUGAGAUGUGGUGCAGAAGGAGCAGCAGUGGCUGUAUGGCCCUGCGGAGAGGGGAGGAGGGGUGCGGGUGGGGGCCAGGGACUGAUGGAGGUCAGUUCUAGGCCAGGGGGAUCUCA